ensembl:lncRNA
CUAGUGUGAUGAGAUACAGGUGUGAUGAGAUACAGGUGUGAUGAGAUACAGGUGUGAUGAGAUACAGGUGUGAUGAGAUACAGGCGUGAUGAGAUACAGGUGUGAUGAGAUACAGGUGUGAUGAGAAACAGGCGUGAUGAGAUACAGGUGUGAUGAGAUACAGGUGUGAUGAGAUACAGGCGUGCACAACUCAGUGGAGACCAAGCAGCUCAAUCAGCACGUUGGCAGGACUUCCCACUUCGUCACAUUCCUCCUCUCUAGUAGGCCUAUUGUACUGCAAAUGCAACGGGAAUGUAGCGUUGCGAUCCUGAAUCAAUGACACGUU